CCUACGGGUGGCAGCAGUGGGGAAUAUUGGGCAAUGGGCGCAAGCCUGACCCAGCAACGCCGCGUGGGUGAAGGAGCGUUUCGGCGCGUAAAGCCCUAUCGGCAGGGAAGAAGGAGGACGGUACCUGACUAAGAAGCCCCGGCUAACUACGUGCCAGCAGCCGCGGUAAUACGUAGGGGGCAAGAGUUAUCCGGAUUUACUGGGUGUAAAGGGGGCGCAGACGGCAGCGCAAGCCAGGAGUGAAAGCCCGGGGCCCAACCCCGGGACUGCUCUUGGAACUGUGCGGCUGGAGUGCAGGAGGGGCAGGCGGAAUGCCUGGUGUAGCGGUGAAAUGCGUAGAUAUCAGGAGGAACACCGGUGGCGAAGGCGGCCUGCUGGACUGCGACUGACGUUGAGGCCCGAAAGCGUGGGGAGCAAACAGGAUUAGAUACCCGAGUAGUC
rnacentral:rRNA from 1 species